GUUCUCAUUACUGGCAGCUGCCUGCACUGGUAUUGGGAAUAAAUAUUUAUUGUUUGUUUACACUUAGAAUUCGAUUCUCUUGAUUCUUUUGGUCUAAACCAAAAAUAAAACGAUAGGCCUACAUUUAGUCCUGGUUCACCUGUUAUUUUUUACAAGUUUAUAAAACAGACAAAUGAAGAUCUGCUGCAAGGAAACGGCGGUUCGACAUCUGUACUGAACUGUAUUGGGCAACAUACCUCCUAUAACAGGAAGAACCAGAGUCAUCUAGAACAUCAAGACCGAUGUGGGAGUCUUCAGGGGAUGUACUUGUUUUGCAUUUAAUUAUCUUCCUCUGAUUUUCAAAUUAGUUUUCUUUUUUAUAGCAAAACUAAUAAUAAUAGACCAUGCUGGAUCAUGAAAGAUUAGAUUUGCUUGUCUGGAGACAGCCAAUAGACAGCCUGUUCUAUAUUCAAAUCAUAUGAGAUUCCCACUGCUUUAAAAACGCUGCUAACUUGUAAGGCAAUUAAAGAGAAUAUAUGUUCAGGUUUUCAGGGAAUGAUUUCUCCAUGGCUGGCUUCUUCACUAUAAAUAUUGUUUUGAU
ensembl:lncRNA